GACGAACGCUGGCGGCGUGCUUAACACAUGCAAGUCGAACGGAAAGGCCCUGCUUUUGUGGGGUGCUCGAGUGGCGAACGGGUGAGUAACACGUGAGUAACCUGCCCUUGACUUUGGGAUAACUUCAGGAAACUGGGGCUAAUACCGGAUAGGAGCUCCUGCUGCAUGGUGGGGGUUGGAAAGUUUCGGCGGUUGGGGAUGGACUCGCGGCUUAUCAGCUUGUUGGUGGGGUAGUUGCUUACCAAGGCUUUGACGGGUAGCCGGCCUGAGAGGGUGACCGGCCACAUUGGGACUGCGAUACGGCCCAGACUCCUACGGGAGGCAGCAGUGGGGAAUAUUGCACAAUGGGCGGAAGCCUGAUGCAGCAACGCCGCGUGCGGGAUGACGGCCUUCGGGUUGUAAACCGCUUUCGCCGGUGACGAAGCGUGAGUGACGGUAAUGGGUAAAGAAGCACCGGCUAACUACGUG
rnacentral:rRNA from 1 species